UACGGGGGGUGCAAACGUUGCUCGGAAUUAUUGGGCGUAAAGCGCACGUAGGCGGUCCCUCAAGUCGGGUGUGAAAGCCCUCGGCUUAACCGAGGAAGUGCAUUCGAAACUAGGGGACUUGAGUACUGGAGAGGAUGGCGGAAUUCCCGGUGUAGAGGUGAAAUUCGUAGAUAUCGGGAGGAACACCAGCGGCGAAGGCGGCCAUCUGGACAGAUACUGACGCUGAGGUGCGAAAGCGUGGGGAGCAAACAGG
rnacentral:rRNA from 1 species